CCACGCUCCGUACGAGAGAGCGGACCGGCCAAUCAGAAGCUUUGAAUGAGUAUUUUACAAACUGAAGAAUUGGAUUGCUCUAGUUAGCGGCUGGGCUGGAAAGAACCGAGAGUGUGGCCUUAUUGCGGGAAGUGACCCUACUCUUGGACCGUGUGUUGUGGGGGGGGAGAAGAAAGUCGUGACCUUGGUCCUUCCCCACCCCAGGAGUGGUCAUGAUGACUCCCAGUGGGGAUUUGAUGGACACCCAUCUGCAAACUGCCUUUUCCACCCCCAGCAGGAUUCCCGUGUUGGCCCGGAAAUGCCUGCUUCUUUCUGGUGGAGGGUCCCAAGCCUCGGGCCAGGAGAAUCGGGAUCCAAAGGAGAUGAUGCAGAAGAAGAUGUUUGGUGCUCAGCUUCUCCAGAAAGACCUAGUCAGCCCUAGGCAGAAGCUGAAACAGCAGACUGUGGGCCUGAAGGGAAGCCUUCGACCCCGGGCCCCACUGGAGGAAAUCAGCCCAGGCUCUGUGGGGCAAAAUAUGGAGGCUGUUCCUCCGCCUAGGCCAGGUGCUCCUUUAAGGUCUAGAAAUACACCUCUCUUGGCUGUUGACUGCUGCUUAGAUGGAAAAGAGCCAGCCACAGCAAGGUCGACUGGGAAAGGGGCAAGACUGAUGGACCCUGGAGAUUUGGCCACCAUGCUGUCAAAGGUGGAGGUGACUAGCAGUGGUCACAGCUGCCAGACGGGUCUGGCCCAAAGAGUACUGAUCCGGGGGAACCAAAACCAAAAAUGUGCCUCCUAUGGGAUACAGACCCCAGGACGUUAUACCAGAUCUUCAUUCUUCAGUAGCAAUCAAGAGUCAACAGAAAGAAAUGUCAUCAGCCAGACCCAGAUGGGCAGUGAUUCAGGACAGCCCUGGAUAAGAACUAGGCUACCAGCUCACCAACCCCCAGGAGAGCCGACCAUCCCCGCCUCCUCCGAAAUGCUGAACAGUUCCCAAAGUAGACGUGAAACCCACAGUCUUGCUCAGCAGGUGCCACUGAAAGGAACACAUGAAGCCCCUCUCCCCAUGGAUAGCCCUAGCUUCCCUUGGACCUCUUCUCCUCUCAUUCAGUUCACUCCUGGCCAGGUAGGCCAUGCCUCGCCCUUUGGACUGGCUAAUCGUGUACCUGUCACCCAUCCGCCAGCUCUGACCUCCUACUCUGUGGUACGUCAUGUGCCCGUCUUCUCCAAGACUCCUCAGGCCACCCGUGCUCCAACUUCCAGUGUUCAGCAGGAGCAGAUUGUUGUCAGGCAGUUGUAUGAAGAGAGCUGGGCAAAUCUGGAGGAGGAACCUGAGAAACCCUCCCCCGUAACUCCUCUAAACAGAACGUCUUUGGAACUGAGCAAACACAAGGCAGACCCCAGGGAUACGGAUACAGGGGUAGCCACCCCAUCCAACAAGACGUCCCUGGAACAGAGCAGAUAUGAGGUGGGCCCCAAAGAUGUUGGGGUAGCAGCUUCAUCAAACAGGAUGUCCCUGGAGCUGAGCAGGCAUGAGGUAGGUCCCAGGGAUGUAGGGGUAGCAGCCCCAUCCUCCAGGAGGUUGUCACAGGGACCGAAUGGCCUCAUGACUCCUUUGUUUAUCUUAUUUACAGCGCAUCAAUAUCUUGAAGCAGCUAUUACAACAGGAGGUAGAAGGGCUGGCUAAAGUAGAGGAUAGCCACCAGAGUGGCCUGUCUCACCUAAAAAUGACUGAGCCCAAGUUGGCUAUGAUUCCUUGUGCAAUGGAACCCUCAGAGCAUGGUUCUUCACUUCCCAGCCUCCAAGGACCUAUGCAGCACCCCGAUGUUGGGGAACCCAUCUCCACUGGGGGCCCAGGCAUUCAAGAACUCAUACAGCAGCCUAACGUUGGCAUGCACACCACAGCUUCCACCAACCUGACCUUUUUUCAAUGCCCACUCUGUGGCAGCAUUCCUCUCCAUUCUCUUGACUCCCUAAGGAAUCCCAUGGGCACUAUAGGUAAGGAGCCAGAUUUAAGGGGGAGUGGGUAGGCAAAGGCACUUUUCCCUGGGUACUGAGGGAGAAAUCCCUCCUUGAAUAAGGGGGUGCCCUAUCUUUCCUUCUCUGUCUCACUUUGGUCUCAUCCACUUUUCAUGUGGGGCAUAGAAGGGGGAAAAAUCUUAUACCAGAACCUGUGCCAUCUUCCUUCUGACCAACUUUACCUUCAGAUUGAAUAGUCAAAAAAUAUCUCUGCCUACUUCUCUCCAUGCUUAUUUCAUUCAAUCCCCUACCCCCAGGUCCUGCUGUCAUAGCCCUAUGCCGGCAACUAAAUGCAUGGCUGGAAGCCAUUAGACUCCUCUAUGAAGCCUGCCUGGAUGACGAGUGUGCCUUCUAUACCGGGCGAGGCAUUCCUGGUCCCCAGAGGAUCUGUAAGAAUCCCGUAGCCACAUGGCUGGAGAGGCAGGAGGCCAUGGUAAACCUCACUUGGCAGUGGGGGGUCAGGGUGGGGGUGGACUUGUCUGGCUUUGUAGGCCUUUUACCCAGUGAAGACCCGGGUAAAGAAAAGCUGGCCCUGAGUUUUAGGAGGAGCCCAGACUAACAGGAUAUCUUCUCUUUCUAGGAUUUUGUUCCAAUCACUUCUCCAGCUACCUAGGACUAUUCCAAACCUCCCCACACUUCAUUCCUCGUUAUUUAUUAUACAUGGACCUUAUUUUUUUUAAUCUUUCAAUAAAAUGUUAU
rnacentral:lncRNA from 1 species